UCUCAACUGUUUUCCAGGACACCUUCCAGUUAGGGAGCAGCUCACUGAUUUGGCAAGGGGAAAUGAACUCGACAGGGACUCCAGGUUCUAAUCUGUGUGAAUCAUGCACCUGAAGGGUCAAGGAUUGAACUGAAGGUACUGUCAUCCAGGAUGGAUUACAAACAGCAGAAACAUCCAAAUCUAACCUAUAAAAUAGAGACACCUGGAGGAUCCCCACCUGCAGUCCAGUCACAAAUCCCAUGACCUCAACCUGACCAACCAGGAGCGUCCAGAUUGGCUACCUGGUCUGAUUGAUUGAGUUCUUUCCAUUUGAGCC